rnacentral:misc_RNA from 1 species
AUAAUAAUAAUAAUAAUAAUAACAUUUUGAAAAAAAAUAUUAUUUUCUAAUUUUUAUAAUAAAAAUGUAUCACAUUUAUAUUUAUUAAAAAAAUCAAUUUUUAUUAGAUUUUUUAUUUUUAUGAGUCGGUCUAUCUAUCUAUGAGAAAUUAAUUUAAAUAUGUUGAUAUUAAAUUUUACUAAUUUGUAUUAAUAAAAUUUAUUAGAUUAUGAAAGAAAUUGCCCUUAAAUCAAUAUAUUCUAAAAGAUCACAGCCUAAAAUCUACAUACCGAAACUCAGGAGAUUUUGCAUCUUGUAAGGGUAACUAAAGCAUCAAAGAAGAAAAGAAAGAAAAAUCUGAAAUUUCCACAGAGAUGAACUCACUCAAACUAACAAUACCCACCUAACAUGUCUCUUUGGGGCUCUGUUGCAGACAUAAAAGGCGAACAAGGUACAAAUAAAGGUGGGAAAAUAAAGAUAGGGCUGUCUAACUACCAUUUUAUGUGUUACUUUAAGUCACACACAGCAGAUGGGACAACCUUUUUUUUUUUUGUUCUGAGGGUUGGUUUUUGCCAUGAAAGCUUUGGUACUACUACCUCAGUAUAAUGAAAAAACAGUGUCCAGUACCGACAGGGUUCACAGAAGUGACCCAUCUCUCUAUUGCCUUCAUCAUCACCUUUCUAUGUCAAUUAACCCAAUUUUUCUUUAUUUCUUUUCAUUCUACCCUCCUUAAUAUCAUCGAUAUGUCCAUUUCAUAAAAUAUUUAAUACUUCGAGCUGUUGCUUAUCAUCCCAUGUCCCACCAAAUGUUCAAAACCUAGCCAUACCCUUUACGAUUUUGAUCCAUUCUUUAUUCUUCUAAAACGUGUUUAUCGGUUUUCUAUCUCUGGUCUUAAACUUGCCACAUCCCUUUAUGCUUACCAUGUAAAAUUCUUUCUAUUUUGCACUCGCAGAGACUUGGUCUAAUGAUAAUAAGUGCAAUUCUCAACUUGACAAGAUAUAUAUCAAGAUAUGUAUGUGUGUGUGUGUGCGCAUUGAAGUUUGGCACUUAAUUAAGCUGUUUGUGGGUACCUGCAAUUGCCAUGGAAAUAUCAUUUUCUUUCUGCAAUUUUAAUUUUUAUCUGCAGAAGAGACAUAAGAACCUUAUCAUCACCUGAUCUUUUUCAUCUCCGCUUCAACAUUUGCACUGGAUCAUAACCCACCUUUCUCGUCGAUCCACUUGUCUUGACAAGAGAUAGAUUAUAUACACGUGUUUAUCUGUAGACCUUCAUGAACUGUUAACUGAUACCCAGUUUGAAUAUCUACAUAUUCCGCACACGUGUGACUAAUUCUGAAGGUAGACAGAGAAUACUGAACAUGAUUUUGUUUAUAUACUAAGAACCUCCAUUGAAAAUGAAUAUGUAGAAGAUGGAUGGAUCUCUUACUAUAUUUUGAAAUUUCACAAGAAGACAAUAUACUAUACACACUUCGUAAUUUUUAAUUACUUUUAAUUGUAGUUAAUUAGUUAAUUAAUCCUCAUUCAAGAGCAAGUGAAUCAUUUCAUUUACACAAGAAAUUAAUUAAUUAUACUAGACUGAAGAUGAAGAGACUAAUGGGUGUUCUUAGAAUCAUCUCAUUUGCACGAUUAAAAAGAUUAACUAAUUAGCAGCUAAAGAAAAUCUGACUUUCUCAUUUGUUCAAGUUAUAUUUAUCGAAUUACAGAUGAAGAUCUAAACUCACAUGGUCUUGGACGCUUGGCUUGGACUCGUAUCCAUAUCGCCCCUGCGAGCUAGAGCCACUCACCUGCGAGGGCUUCAACUCUUCGCCUGCAAAUAAAGGCAAGGGAUGCACAGAACGGUCUCGAUGAAGAGUAGCACUACCAUGAACGGCUGGGAUCCGCCACAAGCCGAGUGGACUCCCAUUGAUGGGUUGCUGAGAGUAGGAGCCAUGGCUACCAUAAAACCUAGAAUUAUUAGGGUGGCUAUUCCAUGAAGGAUAAGACAUGGGUGGGUUAGGAGUUGAGCCUAUCCUGUAGUUCAUCAGCCCAUAAAUAUGAGCAUCAGAGAGGCUGUUGUGAACCAUGGCCGACUGAAGAUGAGCCCUUUUUGCGUGCUGGCGCUCUCUUUUGUGUGCGUUUUGAUGGCCACCCAAGGCUUGAGAAGUAGGGAAAUUUCUACAACAGUAAUGACACUCAAAUCUUCUAUUGUUAUCUCCGCUAGUCUCGCUUUCUUUUGCAGUACUGUCUUCAUUGGUUUCGGCAGACGCAGACUCAUCAGCCGCCGCACUAGUGUCAUUGCCUCCAAAUUCUAUGCCAAAGAGACGAAUGCCCUUUUCUUUGACGGGUGCAGGACGGAUAAAAGGAAGCUGAGAGAAGGAUUCCACGUUCAUGAAGUCAUGAGUCUCUCUUUCACUCUUAUCCAUCAAGAAAAUUGAGUAAUUUAUACUAGCUAGCUCUAGAUUAUGUUCUAGUGUUUAAGCAGGAGAUCAAGGUGGAGCUAGGGUGAGGAGGAGAAGGCGGCGGUGGUGGUGGUGGAGGAGAAAUUGAUGAGAUAGGGAGAUGGAGGAGGAGGAGGAGGAGA